rnacentral:lncRNA from 1 species
GAACUAAUAUAAUCAUUACUGAAACUCACCUGUUAACACUUUUCCUUCAACUCUAACCACUUGAUUCUUUUGUUUUUCUUCUUCCUUCCCAUCGAGGUUCUAGCUCAGUACCUUUAUUUUAAUUGACUCCCCCAGGCUCUGUCCAUUUUUAUUAAGCACCAAAAUGUCAGCUAGUUAGCCAAAAGAAGUUGCUGGACUCGGCAUGGUGUAUUGCACACACAUAUUUAAAGGAACACAUGCACAAGGUCUUGGGAGAGCCAGGAGUAGGUUUCAAGGAACAGAAAAGCCUUUCUUCCUUUAUCCCUUUCAGAUGCCAGAAUUUCCUUUUAAAACACAAUCCCUUUAGUUUAAGGCUGAAAACAUGGGGGACUACAAAUACCUGCAAAGUGGCAAUAGAACAUUUGUACCUGGUUGUUAAGGAAGAAAUCCAGGAUCUUUAUAGGAUCUGGAAGGAGAGGUUGAAGGAGAUGCUGGAAGGCAGAAAUUUUCUAGAUGGUUCAGAGGCAGAGGCCCCUCCUGGAGCAAGGAAAGCUGAAGGAUGCGAGGACCAGCAACACAUCCAUUAGUUUCUUCAGGAGCCCUCGUGGUGAAGUGGCAUGAUCGUGAAGGUUGGUGGCAGCUAGACCUGAGUUUGAAUCCCUGUUUCCCCACUCACUUACCAGCUGGGUGACUUGAGGCAAUCUAUGUAAUCUCAUUGAGCAUCAACCUCUU